CGAGGAGGUGGCCGGCGGGGCGGCUCGGCUCGGCUCCCGCGGGGCCGGGCGAGUCGCCCCGGCCGCCCUGUAGCGGGCAGCACUAGGAAUUGCCAUAGGAUGGAACAACCCAAAAGUCCAGCAAGUCUGCUUGCAAGAGUAACCAUUAUCGACUGCUUCAGAGGAAGAUGCAAAUCCCCCACAAUGACGGAAAAGAGAAAACACAUUCUUCUCUGAGACUGGAGGGCCAGGACUUAAGUCCAGGACCAAUGCCAAAAAGCACUGCUAAACCAAGAGAAAAGCUGCUGACCAUCCUACUUUGUUUGACCAAGAGGAGAAGCCAAGAGAGCACGGACAGGAUGCGUAUCAGGAGGGAAAAUGACCAGGACAUGUAUUUCACUGACAGUCCCUUUGAAAGAAUCUGACCAUUUUAUGAUUUCUCAAAGUUAGCUUUUGAAAAGCUACCAUUGCGAUUGUCUCAACAGCUACUGUUUUUGGUUUAAACUGAAAAGUAGAAUCCCUGGCUGCAAGGUAUUUUUAUUAAGUUUGUGAGUUCUUCUGAGACAUGGAAGUUGUUUUCUGUCUUAGGGGUUCUUAAACAUCCAUAGAGUGGGUCACACUUUAACAGAUUGUCUCACAGACCAUGUCCUCUCUAGUCAUGUCUGCAUAGGCACCUUCCUUCGCACUAGCAAUCAUAUAACAUCCCUGUGGCAACGACAGCAAUGGAUUCCCUUGAACUGGAAUAUUAGGAAAGUAAUAUUUGGAGCUGUUUUUAUUGUGAGUUACCAGCUGGAAAUGGAGAGCCAACACUGGCCAGCCAGCUCCCCAUGGAUCACCAGCAAGCCUUCUACUUU